rnacentral:rRNA from 1 species
ACGAACGCUGGCGGCGUGCUUAACACAUGCAAGUCGAACGGAAAGGCCCUGCUUGCAGGGUACUCGAGUGGCGAACGGGUGAGUAACACGUGGGUGAUCUGCCCUGCACUUCGGGAUAAGCUUGGGAAACUGGGUCUAAUACCGGAUAGGAACCAUCUUUAGUGUGGUGGUUGGAAGGUUUUUUCGGUGUAGGAUGAGCUCGCGGCCUAUCAGCUUGUUGGUGGGGUAAUGGCCUACCAAGGCGGCGACGGGUAGCCGGCCUGAGAGGGUGUACGGCCACAUUGGGACUGAGAUACGGCCCAGACUCCUACGGGAGGCAGCAGUGGGGAAUAUUGCACAAUGGGCGCAAGCCUGAUGCAGCGACGCCGCGUGGGGGAUGAAGGCCUUCGGGUUGUAAACUCCUUUCGCUAGGGACGAAGCUUUGUUGUGACGGUACCUAGAUAAGAAGCACCGGCUAACUACGUG